GGCGGCGUGCCUAAUACAUGCAAGUAGAACGCUGAAGGAGGAGCUUGCUCUUCUGGAUGAGUUGCGAACGGGUGAGUAACGCGUAGGUAACCUGCCUGGUAGCGGGGGAUAACUAUUGGAAACGAUAGCUAAUACCGCAUAAGAGUAGAUGUCGCAUGACAUUUGCUUAAAAGGUGCAAUUGCAUCACUACCAGAUGGACCUGCGUUGUAUUAGCUAGUUGGUGAGGUAACGGCUCACCAAGGCAACGAUACAUAGCCGACCUGAGAGGGUGAUCGGCCACACUGGGACUGAGACACGGCCCAGACUCCUACGGGAGGCAGCAGUAGGGAAUCUUCGGCAAUGGACGGAAGUCUGACCGAGCAACGCCGCGUGAGUGAAGAAGGUUUUCGGAUCGUAAAGCUCUGUUGUAAGAGAAGAACGAGUGUGAGAGUGGAAAGUUCACACUGUGACGUAUCUACCAGAAA
rnacentral:rRNA from 1 species